AACAAAUACUGAUAAAACCAAAUUGUAUGCUUUAUUUGACGGAUAUGAAUGACUCUGAAAACUCACAGAAGAACUAAACAAGGAAAAAAUCAGACUUUAUUGAAUUGAGUGUUAUACCAUCAUGAUAUUUUUUGUUCAAGUUUCUUAAUUGUUCUUUAAAGCAGAAAUUUGGAUUCAGUGAUUUAUUUUCGCCCGGACAUGAAUCUUGGUUAUCUACUUUUUGUUCAGCUGAUUGUUCAACUGGUCCUUAGUAAGGAUAAUGGACUGGGACUGACUCCGGCUAUGGGGUUCAUGAACUGGCAGAGAUUCAGAUGUCAGACGGACUGUACAAAUUUCCCUGACGAAUGCCUGCACGAGAAUUUGUUCAAAUCAAUCGCGGAUGCAUUGGUCUCUUUGGGUUUGAGAGAUGCAGGGUUUACUUAUGUUGCGAUUGAUGACUGCUGGCUGAUGAAAAGAAGAAGUGAAGAUGGCCUCUUGGAAGCGGAUCCUAAGUUAUUUCCGAGUGGCAUAAAAAGCUUGGCGGAUUACAUGCACAAAAAGGGACUCAAA